rnacentral:rRNA from 1 species
GUGCAGAAGAGGACAGUGGAACUCCAUGUGUAGCGGUGGAAUGCGUAGAUAUAUGGAAGAACACCAGUGGCGAAGGCGGCUGUCUAGUCUGUAACUGACGCUGAGGCUCGAAAGCAUGGGUAGCGAACAGGAUUAGAUACCCUGGUAGUCCAUGCCGUAAACGAUGAGUGCUAAGUGUUGGAGGGUUUCCCCCUUCAGUGCUGCAGCUAACGCAUUAAGCACUCCGCCUGGGGAGUACGACCGCAAGGUUGAAACUCAAAGGAAUUGACGGGGGCCCGCACAAGCGGUGGAGCAUGUGGUUUAAUUCGAAGCUACGCGAAGAACCUUACCAGGUCUUGACAUCUUCUGCCAAUCUUAGAGAUAAGACGUUCCCUUCGGGGACAGAAUGACAGGUGGUGCAUGGUUGUCGUCAGCUCGUGUCGUGAGAUGUUGGGUUAAGUCCCGCAACGAGCGCAACCCUUAUUAUCAGUUGCCAGCAUUCAGUUGGGCACUCUGGUGAGACUGCCGGUGACAAACCGGAGGAAGGUGGGGAUGACGUCAAAUCAUCAUGCCCCUUAUGACCUGGGCUACACACGUGCUACAAUGGACGGUACAACGAGUCGCGAAGUCGUGAGGCUAAGCUAAUCUCUUAAAGCCGUUCUCAGUUCGGAUUGUAGGCUGCAACUCGCCUACAUGAAGUUGGAAUCGCUAGUAAUCGCGGAUCAGCAUGCCGCGGUGAAUACGUUCCCGGGCCUUGUACACACCGCCCGUCACACCAUGAGAGUUUGUAACACCCAAAGCCGGUGAGAUAACCUUCGGGAGUCAGCCGUCUAAGGUGGGACAGAUGAUUAGGGUGAAGUCGUAACAAGGUAACCAAGGGCGAAUCG